rnacentral:rRNA from 1 species
CAAGGAUUCCCCUAGUAACUGCGAGUGAAGCGGGAAAAGCUCAAAUUUAAAAUCUGGCAGUCUUUGGCUGUCCGAGUUGUAAUCUAGAGAAGUAUUAUCCGCGCUGGACCGUGUACAAGUCUCCUGGAAUGGAGCGUCAUAGAGGGUGAGAAUCCCGUCUUUGACACGGACUGCCAGGGCUUUGUGAUGUGCUCUCGAAGAGUCGAGUUGUUUGGGAAUGCAGCUCAAAAUGGGUGGUAAAUUCCAUCUAAAGCUAAAUAUUGGCGAGAGACCGAUAGCGAACAAGUACCGUGAGGGAAAGAUGAAAAGAACUUUGGAAAGAGAGUUAAACAGUACGUGAAAUUGCUGAAAGGGAAACGCUUGAAGUCAGUCGCAUUGGCCAGGGAUCAACCUUGCUUUUUUGCUUGGCUUACUUUCUGGUUGAUGGGUCAGCAUCAAUUUUGACUGGUAGAAAAAGUUCAAGGGAAUGUGGCAUCUUCGGAUGUGUUAUAGCCUUUGUUCACAUAUAUCAGUUGGGAUUGAGGAACUCAGCACGCCGCAAGGCCGGGUUUUUAACCACGUACGUGCUUAGGAUGCUGGCAUAAUGGCUUUAAUCGACCCGUCUUGAAACACGGACCAAGGAGUCUAACAUGCCUGCAAGUGUUUGGGUGAAAAACCCGAGCGCGUAAUGAAAGUGAAAGUUGAGAUCCCUGUCAUGGGGAGCAUUGACGCCCGGAUCUGACCUUUUGUGACGAUUCUGCGGUAGAGCAUGUAUGUUGGGACCCGAAAGAUGGUGAACUAUGCCUGAAUAUGGUGAAGCCAGAGGAAACUCUGGUGGAGGCUCGUAGCGAUUCUGACGUGCAAAUCGAUCGUCAAAUUUGGGUAUAGGGGCGAAAGACUAAUCGAACCAUCUAGUAGCUGGU